rnacentral:siRNA from 1 species
GGGUGAACUGCGGCUGUGGACAAU